rnacentral:rRNA from 1 species
AUACGUAGGGUGCAAGCGUUAAUCGGAAUUACUGGGCGUAAAGCGUGCGCAGGCGGAUUUAUAAGUCAAAUGUGAAAUCCCCCGGCUCAACCGAGGAACUGCCAUGGUGACUGCUAGGCUUGAGUGCGGCAGAGGGGGGUGGAACUCCGUGUGUAGCGGUGGAAUGCGUAGAUAUGUGGAGGAACACCGAUGGCGAAGGCAAUCCCCUGGGCCUGUACUGGCGCUCAUGCACGAAAGCGUGGGGAGCAAACAAGAUUAGAUACCCUGGUAGUCCACGCCCUAAACGAUGUCAACUGUUUGUUGGGUUUUCAUUGACUCAGUAACGAAGCUAACGCGUGAAGUUGACCGCCUGGGGAGUACGGCCGCAAGGUUGAAACUCAAAGGAAUUGACGGGG